UACUCUAAGCGGUGGAUCACUCGGCUCAUGGGUCGAU
rnacentral:rRNA from 1 species